rnacentral:rRNA from 1 species
CCUACGGGCGGCAGCAGUGGGGAAUAUUGGACAAUGGGCGAAAGCCUGAUCCAGCCAUGCCGCGUGUGUGAAGAAGGCCUUCGGGUUGUAAAGCACUUUCAGUGGGGAAGAAAGCCUUGGGGCUAAUACCCUCGAGGAAGGACAUCACCCACAGAAGAAGCACCGGCUAACUCCGUGCCAGCAGCCGCGGUAAUACGGAGGGUGCGAGCGUUAAUCGGAAUUACUGGGCGUAAAGCGCGCGUAGGCGGUCUGAUAAGCCGGUUGUGAAAGCCCCGGGCUCAACCUGGGAACGGCAUCCGGAACUGUCAGGCUAGAGUGCAGGAGAGGAAGGUAGAAUUCCCGGUGUAGCGGUGAAAUGCGUAGAGAUCGGGAGGAAUACCAGUGGCGAAGGCGGCCUUCUGGACUGACACUGACGCUGAGGUGCGAAAGCGUGGGUAGCAAACAGGAUUAGUACCCCGGUAGU